AUGACUCGCCCUGCCCCACACGCUCGUCCCCGCGCCACCGUCGGCGUCCACGGCAAGAGCGACGUGGGCUAUCCGGCCAGGCGCGUCUACCGCCUGCAGCGCCACCUGCUGGAGCCUCCCUGCAGCACCGCGUACCCGGGAGCUGACCUUGGGCUCCCUACCAUCCCUCCCUCACUCAUUUACACUGGCAAUACCUUCUACCAGCUCAUCCACCAAGGCACCAAGAUGAUACCUUGUGACUUCCUCAUCCCAUCCAGACCCAGCACCGGAUAAGGAAGGGUUUGCAUCACAAGAUCCUCCUGGCCAACUUUUUGGUGCAAACUGAGGCCCUGAUGAAGGGGAAGUCAACAGAGGAGGCCCAGAAGGAGCUGCAGGCCGCAGGGAAGAGUCCAGAGGCCUUGGAGAAGCUAUUGCCACACAAGGUCUUUGAAGGAAAUCGGCCAACCAACUCUAUUGUGUUCACCAAGCCCACGCCAUUCAUUCUGGGAGCCUUGAUUGCCAUGUACGAGCACAAGAUCUUCAUUCAGGGUAUCAUCUGGGACCCAUGUCAACAGCUUUGACCAGUGUGGGGUGGAGCUGGGAAAGCAGCUGACCAAGAAAAUAGAGCCUGAGCUUGAUGGCAGUAGCCCAGGGACCUCUUACGACUCUUCCACCAAAGGGCUCAUCAACUUCAUCAAACAGGAGCGUGAGGUCAGAAGCCAAUAAACUCAUGGCCGCUGCAGUCCCUGUUGUGACUGGUCCUUCUUGUUGCUCCUCCCCAGAGAUGCACUGCACAGUCCUGCCCAGAGCAGCCUCUGGUUGCGGGCUUGGAGCAUAAGCCCUUUGGGGGAAGCUGGUCUGGAAUUGCCACCCCGCCCUUCCAUGUCCUCAUGCCCUCUGUUUUACAAUCGGCUGUUUCAGUGCAGCUGAUUUUUCUGACCAUGUUCACUUUGUUCAUGUACCAGAUAGAAAAAUAAAGAUGCCACAAAGGAAAA